GCUGGGCAUGGUGGCGCAUGCCUGUAAUCCCAGCUACUCAGGAGGCUGAGGCAGGAGAAUUGCUCGUACCCAGGAGUUGGAGGUUGCAGUGAGCUGAGAUUGCGCCAUUGCACUCCAGCCUGGGCGACAGAGCAAGACUCUGUCUCCA
ensembl:misc_RNA Metazoa_SRP Metazoan signal recognition particle RNA